UACGUAGGCAGCAAGCGUUGCUCGGAGUUACUGGGCGUAAAGGGUGUGUAGGCGGUUGUUUAAGUUUGGUGUGAAAUCUCCCGGCUCAACUGGGAGGGUGCGCCGAAUACUGAAUGACUAGAGUGCGGGAGAGGAAAGUGGAAUUCCUGGUGUAGCGGUGAAAUGCGUAGAUAUCAGGAGGAACACCGGUGGUGUAGACGGCUUUCUGGACCGUAACUGACGCUGAGACACGAAAGCGUGGGUAGCAAACAGG
rnacentral:rRNA from 1 species